rnacentral:rRNA from 1 species
AACGAACGCUGGCGGCGCGUCUUAAACAUGCAAGUCGAACGAGAAUCCCGAUGCUUGCAUUGGGAGGAGAGUGGCGAACGGGUGAGUAACACGUGGAUAAUCUGCCUCCGGGAUUGGGAUAACUACUCGAAAGGGUGGCUAAUACCGAAUAAGAUGGCGGUAACAAAAGUAGCAGCCAUUAAAGGUGGGGACCGCAAGGCCUACUACCUGGAGAUGAGUCCCGCGGCCCAUUAGCUAGUUGGCAGGGUAAAAGCCUACCAAGGCAACGAUGGGUAGCCGGCCUGAGAGGGUGACCGGCCACAUUGGGACUGAGAUACGGCCCAGACUCCUACGGGUGGCAGG